UUUUUAAAUUCGUUUUUUUUUUUUAGUGAGAGUCAGCUGGGGUUAACAACAAAGUAACUGCAAUUUCUUUUCAAUCAUUAACAAUUAUUAUUACUUAUUAUUUUCCGUUCUAAUUUGGAUCACCUUACAUGAACUGUAGAGCUUUCAAAAGCCAUGAAUGAUACCUAAUGAAGAAAUAACAGUUUAGCAGCAGGCGUUUGAAGUUAAGGGGCUUGCUGAGGAUAGCAUUGCAAGUGGUAGAUCUGAAAGUGAAACUCAGAUCCUUGGAUACCCAAUACUCUGUUUCAAUCUGUCCAAAACUGAGGUGCUAUUUUCAAGAACAGAUAUUAUAGCCCCGUUCAGUGGUUGUUUUAUUUCAUCAAAACAUUUUUUAAAUGCAGUUUUUACUGCAUUUUUAUCAUGAUUCUCACAUUGGGUAGAGUUCAGUAGCCUUGGCCAUGUCAAAAUCACAUACUAGUUCAAGUUGACUGUCCAAGAUUCCUUUCUAUUCAGUGAAAAGGAAAGGUUGUUUUCAGGAAGUGGCUCCUCGUAGACCCUCUGCUAUUGUACUGGCUUGAUCUGUGGUGUGCCUUUCCCUCCUGAAUGCAAUACUGCAGACCAAAGUCAUAAGGUUACUUGAGGGUACUCCUGUCACAAUAAGAAUUUGUCACAGACUUCAUUUCAGAUAUUUCUAAUAAUCUGUAUUCUCUACAGAGGCAGGUUACUGUUCAGCAUUUAGGAAGAAAGAUACUAGAUUAUAAACAAUUCAAAAUAUUGUAAGAAAGAAACAUCCUGAGCUGCCUUUGAGUAAUGCUUAAAAUUAAUUUCACUAUGUUGAGGAUAAGAGGCUGCACAGCAAAAAUGAAUCACUCCAAAGGAGGACUAAGGGAAGUACCCAAUGAUUAAGUGGGAAAAAAAUUGUCAUAGUGUUAAUGACAUUCCAGCUAGGAAAGUAUUCCAGCUAGAAAAGUCUUCCAGAUGUGUGCAGCAUGGUUGGCUGCAGUUGUAUACUAGACAACACUGUGGAGCAAGAUAAAUGCACAGCAGAUUAUGGUUAUGUGAGGAUUUUGCUUGGAGAGGCAUUCUGAUUACAGGAAAACGCUCUGAAGGCAUACAAGGGCAUAUAUUUACCUGCAGUAUGUCAGCCUUCCCAUCAAUGACACCCAGUUAACUGCUCUUUCAUAGAAUCAUAGAAAAGCUUGAGUUGGAAGGGACCUUAAAACCCACCCAGUCCCUUGAGUGCCUCCAAGGAUGGGGCAUCCACAGCUCCUCUGGGCUGCCUGUGCCUGUGCCUUACCACCUUCUGAGUAAAAAUGUUUCCCUAACAUUUAUCCUAAAUCUCCUCUUACUUUACCAUUAUCUUUUAAAAAGGUCUAUUCUCCAUAUAAUACCACAGCCUUUUAAUGAUGUUUGCAACAUCAAAUUUAUUAUUUAAACUUAUAUGUUUCUUUAAGUUUUAAUGUAAGCUUAGGUGGUUUGGAAUCUUAAGAAUUAAUCUUAAAGAAAAGCUCUUAAGUGGCAGAUCAGUAUCAUGUUUCCUACCUUGCUUUAAAGCUUUGAAAAUUGGACCUUGACAGAUCCAUGACUUACACAAAUACGUACAUCUAAUCUCCUUUGAAACCACUGGACAUGAGGCAUUUUAGUAUCUUUUGAGGACCUGUAGUAUAACACUUGCUACCUGCUUGCUGAAUGCAAACCAACCUUUUUCUUGUAAUUUUCUGUCUCAAUAUGCAGUUAAUACAACUGCUUUCACAGUUUGUUAUGCCAAAGUCAGCGAUCCCUUCACUUCCUAUUAGAAGUUUGCAGAGAAGACAUUUGCCUAUGGGCCCAGGGAUGGCAUUUGUUCUAGUGAGAAUGUUUGUUGCUUUCUAGACAGACAGAAGUAAUAGCACCUGAUACUGGGACUUGAUGAAGCAGAUCUGUGAAGCGGAAAAGUAUCAAAGAGGGGAAGAAUGUUGUGACAAAUUUAGGCAAUCUACAAUUCCAUGUAAAAUAGCACAGUGCUGGAAGUUAGCCUGCAUGCUAUACCCAGCUGGAUGGCAUCUGUAGGAAUCAUCUCAUUUCAUAAUAAAUCUGAAAACUUGUUUCUUUUUAACUCGUAUAACUAAAUUACAUUAUUUCUGAACAAAAUAUUUACCCUUGAGGUCAGCUGCUUUGAAAUUACAUUGGCUUAGAGAAUUCUCAUUUAAUUGCAACUUUCACAUACAAACACAGUAAAGUCUGACGACUUUGCUAGUGCUACCCGUGCAUGACUUAAUUUUAGUUACUACUAAAACAGCCUUCCUCAGCCUUAUGAUGAAAAACCUGUAUUUGACUAUGCAAGCAGGUAUCAGCUGACUAGAAUGUGUAUUCAAGGCAGGUGGAAGUGUAACUUCUAAUCCUGGUGGAGCUAUCUUAUGUUGGUUGGGGCAAGGGUAAUCCCCCAAGAUGCCUCAGGAGAGAUCUGUCUUUUAAAAAAUAUUUCAGUGAUUGCAGGCCUCAUUGCAUCUCCCACAGAGCACUUCAGGAUGAUUACAGCCAUCGUAGUCUGAGCACAGGUUUGUCUUCCUCCACUUUGCUGUCUCUCCCCCUCCUUUUGUUCCUUCACAAUGGCUUAGAAGCUUUCUGAAUAUAAGAGAGCAGCUCCAGUUUCAUGGAGUGCCGUGAAAUAACAAAGAAACUCUGUAUCUAAUUUAGCCUAAUAUGAUUCACGCUUCUUUGUUUAGAAAUAGCUGUAAGUGAGCUCUGCAGUUUGGAGUUCUGUUCUGGGAGGUUUUACCUUGUAACCUUAGCCACACCUCCUUCUCCUUUUUACACAAGCAUGUUAUUGCACUUCCUUGGAUUAUUCCAAAACUAUAUACAAAAAAAUUGUGACUCAAGCACUUGAAAAUACAUUGUUUUGUUAUUAUCACUUACAUACUAAAGCUGUGAUUCGUGAUUAUCAUCUUCUUAAGUAGUACUAACUCGUAAUAGAAAAGCUGUUUUCUGGUACUUACUGUUUAUAGCUCCUUUUUGUGCUUUAAGAGUGUACUCCGAAGUAUACAGCAUUUCUUUUCUGCUUUGUGAUUCUUAGACCAUACAAAUUGUUCACUGUCAUUUCUUCUGACGUUUCCUGAGACAACAGAGACUUGACAGUGCAUCAUGUGUCUUUAUGGCGUCAGCUACCUUCAAAUCAUUAACUAAUUAUUGGAAGUAAACAUUUACUGUAUAAUGGUUGAACAUUUCUCAGUUCUAUCUGUCUAUCAGCAUAAUUACAAUUGAUAUAAACUUUAUUUGUCAAAAAUGUCAAAUUGUGGUACAUUUAAACAAUUAUAACUUUUACCUUUAAUACCAAUUUAAGUGCUUUCCAAAAAAAAUCCAGAUCCUUUAAUCUAUCAUUGAAAUGGUCUUUAUUCUCAUUCUUAAUUGAUUAUUUAAGGUAAUAUUUUACAAUAUUCUAGAGCAGUGUGAUAUCUCCAUUUGAAUCAAGUGUGAGUUCAUUGUGUCUAAGUGGUGGCAGUGAGUCACCAAUGGUUGCUCAUGUCUCUUUGUUUGCCCUCAGAUAAUUUUUUUCCCCUCUCUGGGAGCUUCUUUUCAAAACACUGUUUCUUUCCGGGAAUGUCUUCUACUGUGUGUUGAAAGUCACAUUUCAUGGUACAACUAUAUGGGAUUUUAAGGUAUCUUUGGUACUACUGCAAAAUGGUGCUACCAUAAGUCCCAAAGGCACUUAUGCUCUCUUCAUCUCCAUAGUGAAACUGGAGUUCAGCAGGACUUUAGUGUAGACUCAGGUUCAUAACUAAGUUUCUCUCACAUCCCUUUUUGCUCCAGGGAGAGAUGGAGCAUAUUGCCAGGGCAGGUAUAACUGUAACACACAGGCAAGUCUUUGGAGAAAAGAUUAAGAGGCUGUGACUGCAUGAGCAGUCAUACAGAAGCCCUUGCUCCAGAGUCAAGUAGCAGGUGUUCUAAACACUCAGAUUUAGAAGCUAAUGGAGUAAAAGAAGCAGCUUUUCCAAGCAAUGCUGAUUACUAAUAGCUCUCCGGUGGGGGAUGAAGCCCAAACAGCUCACACAACACACGCUCUUUCCUUGGAUUGCACAGCCCAAAGGCAGGGCAGUUUUCUCAUUUUAGAAAAUUGUGAAGUUGUGAGGUUUUCAGCCUUCUCCUAAAGAAAGGAAUCAUGUGUCCCAUACAAUGACAAACGGUUAAUUAAUACCAGAAGAGACCUGCUCUGGGGAUCUGACAACAUUCCCAUACUUUUGAUUUCACACAAACCCCAAAUUUUUUGUUACAUAGGAGAAAUAAAAUUCCAAAUCACAAAUGAAAAAGAGAAACUUCAGUACAGGAAUGCCCACGCAGUUUGUUUUGACCAUGUAAAUACUUUUCCUCUAGUUUUAUUAAAUUGGAAGAACUAUUGAUUUUUUUCUCUCACAAGAUGUUUUAAGCUUUAUGUACUGUGUUUUGCAAACUGUCUGGACAUUCUUUUUUUGUUGUUGUUGUUUAUUUGUGUGUUCUGUUAAUCUAGAUUUCUCUUCCUUGGAAAUCUUUCAUUACUGAUCUCAUUUUUCUUAUCCACACUGUUCUUUCUAGCUCACUGCUUCUUCUUUCUGCUCACUUUCCUCUUCUCAGUCAAUGCAUCUCCACACUAAAUAUUUCUGUAAAUAUUUUGAAAUCAUGAUGAUGUUUUGGUGUGGCUUAUGUAUAUGAAAAGUUUAAUAUAUUUGCUUUAGAAAAAGAGUCUAAGCAUAAAAAAUUACAGUUGUAAUUUUACAAAGCAUCUCUCUCAGAACAAUUUUUUCUUGACCAAUCUGAGCCUUUUCAGAUUGUCAUUUAACAGAAAACUAUGACAGCCUAUGUGUCCACACUGGCAUAAGGCAGCAUUCUGACUCACUGCCCAUAAAGUUUCAUAUGCAGUAUAAUCACACAUGAAUAUAUUAAUUAUACUGUUCCCCCGAGUGCUGUUGUUAUUUUAAUUUACUUGCAGUGCUGAAUUCAGAGCAAACUAAAAAAUAAUGAGGUCAGAGGAACUAAUAGCCAAGUUAUUUUUGAUGUGUGCUGUCAAACUGUUCUUCUUUCAGGUUUUCCUAAUAGACUUUUCCUCUGAAGUAUCUAGUUUCUGUACUACAAUCAUGUGUCAACAUUUUUUUUUUAGAAAAUAUGUAUUAGUAAAAGGAUCACAAAAUUCAAAAUUUUUUUGUAGUAAAGCUGGAUCAGUCAGAAAAAUGUCUGGAGGAACUGUAGUUGCUUUCAGGUUAAUUUUCCAAAUUUAUUCUCCUAUGGAAAUAAACAUUUGUUUUAUAAUAGUCUUUAUAGUUUGUCUUAUAAAAGGUCUUUAAUGUCCUUUCCAACCCCAAAUCUUCUGUGACUCUUUCAUUAUCUCCUAUAGCAGGCUAUACAUUUAAUCCAUUAUAGAAUUUUCUUAAUAACCCACAGCUUUACACAAUCUUAAAUCUCAUACCUGAUUUACAGACUUCUAUCUUUGACAACAGAAGGUGCAACAAGAGUUACUAUAUUCAGAAAAAGGUUGUGAUUUUUGCAAGGAGUGAAUACCAUGUUCUGAGGAGUAGCACAGAUGUGAUCUAUAUAUGUUGACUCUUUGAAGUAGAAGCAUUCAAUGAUUUAUUACCAAAAAAGAUGAAUACUCAGAAGUUGGGGAAGGUACACUCCUCCUGAGGAAAAGAUAUUGUGUUAGCUAAUAAUAUAGCUUCACUUACCCAGCACUGUAUUACGGGACCUCUCGACCUCUUCUCCUUCAUGUUCCAGACUUGCCUCCAUCUCCUAAUUAUGCAGGAGGGAGAGGCCAUCUUUCUUUGUAGAAUAAAAAAGAUGAAUUGCAGAUUAGUAUAAAACCAUUUCUCUUUGCCCCGUUUCUUCACUUUCCUUGUCUUUAAACUGCAAGCAGUGCCCCAAAUAUUUAAACAUAUUUAUCUAAGUAAAACUGUUUCAAAGUACUUAGCAUCUGAGGAGCCACUUAUCUCAUGCUGUACAUUCAUCAAACAUAGCAGGUUACCAGCUACCCUUUAAUAACACAAAUCUAUCAAAUGGACAUCACCACAGGCACAUGGAACUGAAUGGAGUAAAAAAGACUUUUCUGAGGGUCAGAGACUUCUUUGCAAGUUUUUAAACUAAUAAGUCACUCUCUCAAUUAAAAACUGUUAAACACAUCCACAGUAAGUUGAGAUGACUGCAACAUUUUUAACAAGUUUGUGAUUUUUGUGGUGGAGGUGACAGAAUCCAUCACAUGCACCUCUUCCUACAUAGGACUUACCUGCAGACUUCCUUCACAUUGUCAGAACAUUAUUGUAUAACCCUGGCGUAAUAUUUUCUAGCUGUUUUUCUCUGUAUAGCCUCUCCCACCACGUUUAUCACCUCCGUAUUUGAGUACCAUUCAUCAGUGCAUUAAGCAGCUUAAGUACCAUCUGUCAUUUGUUUGUCUUCUGAUGCUCCCUGUAGGGAGUGUAAUGUGCUCAAAAAGGUGCUUUAUUUUGAUACAAUUUUUGUUGGGGUAGAUUUUUACAUGUACAUAAAAACAGAAGGAUAUCUGCCUUGACCUUAGAGAAGGUGAAGAUUUCAGUGAUGUUCUAGGUUCCUUGUUCAUGGGAGCAUUUGCUCUAUGAACUGGAUCCUUACUCCUUAGGAAAGUUUUGCUUUUCUAAGAGGACCCCUGCGCUUCCAGAACGUACUACUAGCCCUUUCCAAAUCUAAGUAGCUGUUUUAAUUAUCCUGUGUUCACACCAUAAAUCACUUCAAUGAAAAGACUCGUGGAUUUGAUUAAGGUGAUUUUCAGAUCAUCCAGCAAGGUGAGGCAGAAAAUGAUAGCAUUGCAGUAUUCCAGUAGCUUCCGUUACUGAAGAGACAGAUAAUUCUUAAUCGUGUACUUUCUGUCUCAGAUGGGUACUACAGUUGAGUUCACCAAUCAGUCAGGAUGAUUUUUCACACUGUCUCAACAACGAUGAUAUUAUCUUUCUCUGCAGGCUCUCACCCAGGCCUUUCUGAGAAAAAAAUCCAUAUGCCACUUUAUUUCCUUCUCAGAAACAUUCUGAACUUUCAAAAAGUUCUCAGGUCUUUCCUAACUUGCUGUUGGCCAUCUUUAAUUUCUGAAAUGCUUUCAUUAAUCACUUCAUUUUGGCUUAAGAGGAGAAUUUCAGAAAUUCAGCAAUUUAGAAGAAAUGGAUGGGAAAGGUAGGCAGCUCUCAGAUACAGUCCUGUUUGUGAAACUUAGUGUGUGUUUCUAUAUAAGCUGUGUUUUGUUUCUCUGUACUUCAUGUUUUUGUUGCUUGUUUGUAGCAUAGACAGAUAAACAGACAGCUGAAGUCAUUAGUCCCCAGAUGCUGUGUUUAUUAUCAAGAAAUUCUAAGAACUGCAAACACCAACUAGUGCAUGACCUUACACAAGUUCAUUGUUAAAGCAUGUUUUUGUGGCAAAACUGAGUGUAGUACUGCUUCCUGUAGUAGCCUAACACUAAAGCACCUGCUAUAACGAAUAGCUCUGAAGAGGUACAAUUGAUUUCGAUGUGAAGAAAUAAUGGGUGAAUGAAUUUGGUAAUAAUAUACAAGUGUUUGUCUAGAGGUGAGGUGAAAUGUGGAGUUGAAAAACCUAUAAAUAAGUUGCAAGACUUGCUGAAAAACUCAAGAUGCGAGAUGGAAGACAAGUGCAGCACAUCUUGUUACUGCUUUCAAAACAACAGAAGAAUCUAGAACUAUUAAUGUGAGGGCAGUUGUUACACCAAAAUUAGUUCUGGCUCUCUCUCUCUGGGCUAUCAGUAAUGCAGCACUAAGUUCUAGCCUUAUCUCUGCUCCGUUGUGCAGGUCUUUCUAUGUAUGUGAUUCUUAAAUCCAUUUAGUGAAACCCGGCAUAACGCUCAGGGUGAUUCUGGCCUCCGUUUUUAAUUAAACUUUUAAAUCAUAGAAUAUAGAUAAGGUCUUUAUUGCAGUCAGUGGUACAUCAUUUCUGUACACAGGCUGAUCCCUGCUUCAUGACAGGGCCAUUGCUAACUUUAAUUAUUUUGGUCAUUUUCUGUCCUUCUAUAAACAAGGACAGAUAGUAAAGUCACAGCAGAGCUAUAAUGUUCAGAAAUCCAACUAUAACCUUUUAUCUCUAUUAGCUCUUGCUCACCUUUUUUACAGUUUAAUUUUACUGUAGCUGAUGUACCAGUGCAGAGCUAUGUGAAAAGGAUUUUUUUUUAAGUGUCCAAUAAAAUCUCCUUUUCUGAUAAUGCAGAGGUUUUCAGGCUCUCAAUGAGAGAUCAUAUCUAAUCAUUUCCUCAGGACACAGUGCCUCACAGGUGCUAAUGGGAAGAGCUGUAGCUCCUAAGGUUUGAUUCUGUAAAGACUCUGGUCCACAAGGCAUAGUCAGUGCCCUGCAGAAAUCAAACAAAGCAGCAGUAGAUGUAAAGGUCCACCAUGAGCAGAGGCUGGAGGGGUGGCACCCAGGGGUCUCUUGCAAAUUAAAUUAUUCUUUGUUCAAAAAUAUGGAAAUGUAACAGUAAUGCUGGGUGGGAUGAUUGAUCAGGGCAAACCUUGCUCUGCUGACAGUACAGAUUGGAACAAAAACUAUGUGGAACAGUACCGAUAGUGAAGAUGUGGGAGCUAUAAAAGAGUGGCAAAAGAAAGUUCAAAUUAUUUUUCUGCCUUUACAAGCAACAGAGGAGAGAGAAUCUUAGGGAUGAGAGGCUGUACAGCUGACUGGUAGGAAAGAGAAGAUUUUGAUUUUCUGGAGCACCAAACUUUAUGAUAGUUUACUGGGAAUUGGUGCCAUUUGUCCAGAACAGGCUGUAUCUUAUGGGAAGGGAGCUAAUUUUCUAAGCUAGAGACUAGCUUGGAUAAGCAGGAAGGUAAGUAGCAACAUGAAACAGGGGUGUAAGAAUAGUCAAGGUAGUAACCACUUAAAUUAAAAAACAGAGUGGUCUGAUAUGGGAAGGAAAGGGAAGGCAAGACAUUUUUCACUACAUUUUUACCCAGGCUAGAAGACUGACUAAUGAGCUCAGGGAACCAGUAGUUCUAAUUGAUGAGAAAAGAUUUGAUUUAACGGGUGGUAUUGAAGCCUAGUGGGAAGAUCUGUAUGAGGAGAAUGUUAAAAUCUCUAUCUGUAACCUGUUCAGGAAAUACAGAGCAAGAAAAUUAAAUUAUAUAUUGAAGAUACAAUUGAUAACAGAACUACAACAUCUUGAAUGCAUAUGAAUCAAUGUACUUACUCAAAUGUUCAGGAGAUUUUAGAUCUGCACCAGAAGAUUGUCUGAGUGCCUAUGUGCAUGCUUACUUCAGUAAUAUAUGGAAGUAACAACUGUACCAUAGAUGACUUCAGCCCAGGAGGAGUAGACAGACAGGGAAAGGCAGUCCUGUAAAAUAUUAGGUUUCCCAAAACUGGAAAAGAAUUUUUUUUUUUUAAUAAAAAGGUAAAGCUCAACAUGUUUGGAAAUACUACUUUAUGAGCUUUUAUGAUGUAGAGACUUCAGCAUUUUGAUAAAGCAUUAUUUUGUGACAUGAUGAAAUAUCCCCAAAGGCACAAUACUUUUUCUCCUGGGAAUUAAAGCAAAGCAGGAAAAAUAAAUAAAAUCUGUGUUUCAGCUGCUCCAAAUGUAAUGCCACUUGUUUUAUCAUGUUGGUCCACAAGGUCAGAGCCAGCUUUUGGUGAUGUGGCGGUAGAUGUUUAAUCUUCCCACCAAUAUACCGUUCUAUGUUGUUGCUGUGUGACAGAUGGCAGCAGAGGGGCAGUCUGGCAAAAUGACAUCUAAUGUGGGAGUGCAGAUAAAGCAAAGGGGUGUAAAUGAAUUCAUCGAUGUGGAAAAAAUGGCACCCCCUGACAUUCAUUGACACUUGCUGAAUGUUCAUGGGGACCAAACAGUGAAUGUGAGUGCAGUGAGGAGUGGGUGUUGUGUUCCAGCAGUGCUAACGGUGACAGUGGACCAUUUCCACUGGUGCAGAUGUUUAUGAGAGUGGUAUGCAGGCUCUUGUCCAUGGCUGGAAAAAAUGCAUAGCUAAUGGUGGUGACCAUUUUGAAAAAUGGUAUUUUGUAGCUGAGAAUUUGCUCAAUCAAAUGGUGUUAUUGUGCUCUUUGUAUCUGUUGUAGUUUCCAUGGAAAUAAAUAGGAGGCCUUACUUUCAGAGGGAAUUAUGUAUAUAUAUUUUUCAGAGGUACUCAUCACUACAUUCUACAUCCUAGUCUGUGCAGAGCAAUACAAUAAAGCUAAAAUCAGGAUCCAAUCCAAUGCUUUCUGUUAGCUAAGGUAUAAAAAAUAAAGCAAACAAACAUGAAACACCCUUUGAGGCUGAAUCAGGUAUAUUCAGAAGACAGCUUGUUUCAGUGCUGGAAAGAACAGUUUUGAAAGUGUUUUUGUUCUAUCUUUAUUUUUCACUCCUCUUGUUAUCAGCUUGUUAAAAUAUUGCCAGGCUAAGAGAGAAAGCUGAGGACAUAUGUUAGCAGAGACGAAGGGGAUAAUAAUUUGACAGGUUUUUUAAAGAGAGAAUUCUUUCAUUUUUAGCAAAACCACUAACUUCAAUUUAAACAGCUCUCCUGUCUGUCUUCAUUUUUACUAUGGUAUCGUGUCUGGCAUUUAAAGAGGGUACAUUUUAAUGCUUAGAGCAAGAGAGAGACUGUAGAAUAGCACACCUGUAAAUCUACUGGCUCCCGUUGGAGGUCAGUAGCAAUCUGGGAUGUUUAGCCUCUUCCAGGAUCAGUCCUGGUAUGAAUUCCAUCAGUUUUUCUGUAACAAUGUUAAUUCCUUCUGUCAGACCUGAACAAAUGGCUUUUCAGUCACAGGACAGCCAAAGUGACAGGAAUAGAUUAAUGUCACACAUAGGAAUGGUUGGAUUUUGCAUAUUGUCACCCAGUGCAGUCAGAGUGAGCAAAUUAAAGAAACGACAUCUCUACCUCCUCUGCUUUCUGCAAAUGCUAACAAAGCUGUGUGGUUUGACUGCUGCUGACAGCUUGGUCCCAAGCUUGAAAAGCAAGAUAAUGUCAAAGGGCUGCUGUCACAAAACUGUUAUAUGCUUAUUGGUCUGGCUAAAGUGUUUCCACUUUAAUGUUUUUCCAUCAUAAAACUAUGGCCAUUUCGACUUCAUCUAUAAUGCUGAGAGGCUAAUUUAUAGUGUUGAGAAGCCAUAAAACACCGAGGAUGUCCUAACACUCUAAUGACUUAUAGAUACUCUCCUUUCAUCUGCAGUUCCCUGAAAUCUGUUUAGCUGGAUGUAUGGUUUGGGAGAGAUGAAGUCUCAGGAUUUCUGAAUUCUGCUUUAAGGCGGAGGUAGAGACAAAAAGAUUAUUCAUCUAGGAAUUUAUUGCUAGAAUAACCAACUGUUGAGCUUGAGACUAGAGUUCAGCCUUGCUCCAAGUAACACACACAUUCUUGUUUUCCCUUAGAGCCUGAAAGCGCAUCUUGAGUGCUUUGUGAAAUAUACCAUUUGUCUUCAAUUUUGCAUCUUCCUGAAACCACAGAUUUCAAAGCACACGGGACCGCUCAGAGUGGACUGAGAAGCAUUAAAAGGGACAGUACAUUGCCCUCUAAUGAUAAGAAAGAUAAGUCAUAUAAGCUCUCUUUCCUGGAGAUGUCAGCCAAAAUGCCGCAUGAUCACCAACAAGCGCAAAAAUGAACAAACUUCAGGGAUCAAGUCUAAGCAAGAGAUUAGAGAAGACAUCCCCCCAGAAUGCUCCCAAACUUCCUACUCUGGUUCCUCCUGAAGAGCAGAAUUCUGCUUGGACAAACUACCUACAGACUGAAAUCCAAGUGUGUUGAUGCCCGGGCUGUCUUUUCCCCAGAAGCAGGAGCAAAAGAGAAGAAACUUUUCUUCACUUUGCAAAACGAUGUCUCUUUUGCACCACUGACUUUUUUCACUCCAUAAAUGAUUUCCAGGUACCUGUCUGGAAGAGAAGAAGAAAUACAUACCCCAGGAGGCUUUGCAUUCAGAGAAGAGAUAUAACCCCUGGCAAGGUCACCUGAUGUCCUUUUCUUCUUUUGGCUCUCCUCCCUGCUGCUUGACCCAACUGCACAUCUCACCUCAGUGUUACAGUGAGGCUUUCAGCUCUUGGACACUCCUUCUCUCAUUAUAUUUGAUUGAUUAGCUUCAAUUCUUAUUAUAUUGUAUUAUAAUGUAUUAUCUUGCAUUCUGAUACUAUAUUUAGUAAAUUAGUUUCUUUCUUCUCAGAUUGUUGCUCCUGGUCUUAAUUGUUCAGGGUCCCCUGUUUCCUUUUUUUGGAGGUCUGGAUCUGUGGAUCCCUCCACCCUGCCAGUCAUGGAACUGGGCUGAACCAGAUCGUUACUGAUCAAUCUCUAAAAAUGAAUGAAAUUUGAGGUCUGAGAAAAGAUUUUUCAUGCCACCCAAAUUGUCACCUGGUUACUUCGAUGUUGGGACAAUGGGGUCAACAGUGUGUGGCAAGAACAUAGAGAAGGUUGCCAACUGGGUGGCAUUGCUAGGGACUCAGCCAUUGGUAUUAGUACAUGCUAGAACCAGGCCUCUUCACCCUCUGAAAGAGGAUGUUGUUAGCUGUGAAAGAAAGAUACCCCUUCAAAGACGAUCUGAUGCCUGAGGGGAAAAAAAAAAAAAAAAAAAGGACUGAUAGGGAAAAAGACAUCUGUUACUUGAGAGACUAUGCUGUGGUGGAAAUGUUACGUAGCCCCAUUUUCAUUCCUGAUGAGCCAGACCAAGAGCAUGAUCCUGGGAGAGUCAGGUGUACACAAAGUAUGUGGCAUAUAUUCACAAAAACUGCACCAGAAAGGUAUGCCAGUUCGUGUGCAGCAAUGUAUGGCAGAGGGGAAAGAGGACCCCCUUAUAAACAAACUGAUUAAUAAACUCCAAGACUUUGAGUUCCAUUUCACCCCUCUAUGAGCUUGUGUUUCCGCUAUUUCAAAAGUAGCUGAAAAACUGGACAGAAUGGAAAUAUGAUAGAUGAACUGUCUACUGUGCUUAAUGCUGAAGGAUGCGUGGUGGUAUCAGAUACAUCUGAUGGGGACAAGGAUUCCCAAAACAGCCUAUUGGGCAGGCUGAUCAAAUUGGUUUCCUCCCAGCCUGGAUCAUCCAAUGUCUCAGCUAUCAAAAGAAAACAUCUUCCUGCACAUUCAAGUGACAACAGUAAGACUGUAAAACUGUUGCGUUUUGCCGUGUGGCAUUACCUACAUGACCAUGGAGAAGAUAUGAAGAAGUGGCAUAAAAAACCCCCUCCUGCACUUCAAGCUUGGGUAAAAGAAUUACAAGACAGAUCAACCGCUAAGGUGAACCUCUCCAAAGAGAUGAUUGCUUCAGUUGCUGUGGGACACAGCAAUAGCCAUAAGAACAACAGAGAUAACAAAUAGAGGGGGCCCUGCCCCCAGCCGGGGGUGGAAGGGAUAAUAGAGUGCAUUGGACUGUGUGGAUUAGAUGGCCUGGCAUGUCAGAACUACAGAAAUAUAAGGCCCUGGUGGACACUGGUGCACAGUGCACUCUAAUGCCCUUGAGUCACCGAAGGAAAGAAUCAAUUUAUAUUCAUGGGGUGACUGGGGGUUCCCAACAAUUGACUAUGUUGGAGGCUGAAAUAAGCCUCAGUGGUAAAGACUGGCACUCUUUCUCUCAUUAUAUUUGAUUGGUUAGCUUCCAUUCUAAUUAUAUUGUAUUAUAGUGUGUUAUCUUGCAUUCUGAUACUAUUAUUUAGUAAAUUAGUUUGUUUCUCCUCAGAUCAUAGCUGCUGUUCUUAAUUAUUUGGGGUCCCCUGUUUCCCCUUUCCAGAGGCACAGAUAUGCAGAUCCCUCUGCCCCACCACUCAUGGAACUGGGCUGAACCUGCCCAUAAACCAUUGACAAAGACUGACUAAAUUUUUGCCAUAGCUCAUGCAUUAUUUCUCCUGAAGUCAGUUACUUAACUCUUGGAUUUUAGGUUAUGUUCUAACCCUCCUUCCUCUGAACGCUUUAUUUAACCAUUCACAGAUGUACUGUACAUCUCUUAACCACUUCUUUUUAGUGUUGUGUGACAGUGCCCCACAACACAGCUUCUUUUGUAUUAUAAGGUAACUUACAUGUCCAUAUUUUAUAUAAAAGCAACAACACAGUAGAGAGAUCUGUAAAACAAGAAGACUUAUUUGUUCCCAGUUCACUUCUUUUUUUCAUGUUUACUUAUUAAUAUGCAGUCAUGCAUGGAAACACUCUUGUUACAUUCAAUUUCAUUGGUAUUCAGCUCUUUCAAAAAAGAGUUAUUUCAGUCUCUGGGAAAACAAACAAAAAACACCACCAACAAAAACUAGCAAAGCAAACAACCACCACCACCACCACACACACACACGCACCAAACACAAAACAAAUGAAUAAAAAAAAUAGCCUGGGCUGUAAAGCUGAGUUCCCAGCUCCUGUUUGUGCAAAUAUAAAAGUACAUAAUGAAUAUAUCUGGACACCAGUGUGGGAAGAAACUCAGCUGGAAGCUCUUUGACCUUGUAGAGGAAAAGCCAACAGAUGAAGCUGUCAAUUUGGAUAAAAUUGAAGUAAAAGUAAGGUGCACAUGUUAACAGUGGUGAUAAUUAACUACUGGACUACCUUACCAAUACAUGCGGUAGCAUCUCCUUUACUUGGUCUCUAUGAAGUUGUUAUUAUAUUGAGCAUGUGUCUGUCAAAAGAGACGGAAACACAUGAAAGACAGAUCCAUCAAGAACCAUUAAUUGUGAGCGAGCAUGUACAGUUUCCAUCACAGACCAUCUUUAAAUUGCCAAAUGUGAGAAAUAAACAGAAUAUCCUGUAAGAAGUAUUCCUCAGAACUCGCUCUCUUUCCACAGGUAUUUGUUACUCGCAACCUUAGGAGAUGUUCUGUGAUGCAUAUAAAGGUCCUUACAUUCUUAAAGAGAAUACAGAGGAAAUGAGGAAAAGGAAAUUCUAUAGCAUUCCUAAGAGAAUCACAGCAGUAAUUACUAUAAUGAUUACUUUUGGACUUGAAACACCAGGGAAAAAAAAAGUCCUUAUGUUGUAUGAAAAUUGCAAGCAGGCACACAAGAAGGAUUUAAUGAUAUAUCGACUCAUUUUGAGAUAUCGGUUUCCACAGAAAAGGCAAGUGCACUGAGAACACAAAACAGCUUUAACAUUGCAGUCAAAUGCAUUCUAAGUAUUGAAAUAUAAUCAUUGCUUUCAUUUUUCAGCCUACCAAAACUUACAGGUUUAUGUUCAUUACACCUUGGCAAAGACAGAUAAAAUAGAGACUAAGUAUUCAACUAUUCUGUGAAGAUGAAAGAGAUUGCCAAGCUGCAACAGCAUACAACUAUCAGGCAUGUUCUGAUAGCUAUUUAUUCUACCUAUACUGACUGCGAUCCAACCACUGAACUAAAAGUGGUCCAGCAGCAAUUCCUGGAAAAUCUGUUUGGACAAACGUUUAAUACAAGGUUCAGUAAGAUGAAAUUCCUACUAUGAGAAAUCAAGUAGAAAAGCUAGUCAGAAUAAAAAAUGACAAAAGAUAAAGUGCAAGAUUUAUCAAAAGUGGUCAAUCUGCACACCUUAAGAGCUAUAAUCCAUACAAGAUAAAUUGAUUCAUAAAUUGAUCUCAACUGAGAAUGCCAAAAAUUAGUAUUAAUAGAUUGAUUUCAAAGGCAAUUAAGAAAAGGUUGGAAGGAGCAUUUACAACUCCUUACCCAUGUCUCUCAUUUUUAAUACUGAAACAUUUUUGAUGCAGUGAAGGCAAGGAUCUAACAAAGAGGUGCUACAUGGAACAUGCAACAAUGGGCUGCACAGCAGGCUCCUUCAUGGAUAUUAACAUAAGGAAUGUCCUCAUGAAAAAAAAAAAAACAACAAGGGAGACUCAUUGGCUUGUUCUGCUAUAAGCACUGAAGAAUAAAACUUAUCCUUUCCCAGGAGGCAUCAUUCCAUCAAUGUUAUUUAGUCUGUAGGAAUGUUCAUCAUCACUUUGCUGGUAGGAUACAUUCUACUACUUAGAGUCUCAAUUCUGUGUCAUUUUCUGAGGUUUGUCUGAAACAUUUUCACUGUUACUGCAGAUGAAACCUGGAAGAAGGAGUUAGAGGCUGCCUUUUUCUUCAAUUUCUGCCUAGCAGUUCAUGAAUAAAUUACUCACUGACUACAUGUUUAAUUAACCCUUCCACACUUCCUCUGUUCCUUUCUGUUUAGCUCAUUUUUUUCUAGGCUGCAGUGAAUGGGUAUCGCUCUGGGCCAUAUAAAAAUAUUUGGCUGUCCAUUAAUGCCCAAACCACCGAGGCACGUCUUCAGCUUAUUUGUAACACUGGGGAAAGAUCUUUGCUUUUAAAUGAAGCUGACAAAUCAAUGACACAUUCUCAAGGGUACUUUAAAUAUUACUGUUUGAAAGCUAUUAUAUUGCCUCUGGAUUCCACCACUGUUAAUGCAAAAGAACUAGAUGAAUAAAUAGAGCUAAUGAACUAAAGAAACACUUAGUUUAUAAACUUUCCCUUUAGAGACUUAGUUUUGAUUUGGUUGUCCAAAACUUGGGAGGUUGAAAGUCUUAUUUAUUGAUGGUAUUCUCUGCUUAUGUAUAAUAUAUAAUGCAGAGCAGGAAAUCACAUUCAUUUUAAAUACAUCCAGAAAAAUAUACCUGUAAUGUUUCAUUCUUCUGACCAUGGCAAAGAAUGGAAUUUUUUUUUUUCAAACACUGACAAAAUCUGCAUAGUCUUUGAAAACUGUUGACUAAUAUACAACAUACUAAUAUGUGGGAAGAAGAGCCAGAAUGUCUAUGGCAAUCACACAUAUAGUAUACUACUUUUUUUUCCCCAGUGAUAGUGGCUUUUGAAGGUGAGGAAGAUGGUUGAAAGCCAAGACGCUUUUUCACAUGUACAUAGACACACACAGAUCCUCAGCCUUUUCUAGUUCACCCGUGAGGUUCCAUAUUUCCAAGGAAAUACUUCUAAGAGAGCUGUACUUGUUUAUCCUUUCUCUAAUAUUACUGCUGUGAGCUCUUUUUUAAUGCUCACAUUAUCAAAAUGAUGGUAGAGAGAAAUUCUGGCAUAAUUAAAUGGCUUAGAAGAGGCUUUCCCAUUCUUUUUUCGCUUUAUAAUGCUGUUUUUUAUGACUAUUAACUGCAACAGAGAGUAAAAAAACCAGCCUGCAGAAAUCCAGAUCAGACUCAUUCUCUUUCUUCACAGAUGACCAAUGCAGUCAUCACUUUGAAGUUAUGAAAGUGCAAAAUAUAAAACUUGCUUAAAUAUGCUUAUCAGUUUUGAUAAGUUAAUGGCUUUUUCUUAGUAUAAUUGGUCCUUCUGGGAAUGGUAGUUCUCAUAUUUCCUAUUCAUUUAUUCUUGGCAUCUUGGGAACCUCCACUCUUAAUUUCCAGUGAAAUUAACAAUGAUUAGGCUCAGUUGCUGGUUUUAACUGUCCUGUGCAGAAAGUAGCAUCAUUGUUAUGUUAUAGGAGCUAGGAGAUCUGGAUUUAACUUUUAGAUAUGUAACUUGCUUACAUUGUAUCCUCAUUGUACAAAUCUCAUGUGCUUUUACUUGCAUGCCUCUCCAUCACACUUGCCCAGGAGAAACUAGUUCUUGGUUUUGAAUGCAGAGUUUAUCAAGAUUCAUCUAUGUCUUCAAACAAGACCUCUAGUAAUGAUUUCAGUAAGUUCCAGCUGUUAGGUCAUUACAUCCUUUGAAGACAUUUAUCCAAGAAAAGUAUCAAGAGCUGCAUCAAAGCUAUGUCAUGGAAUCAAAAGUGAGUCUGGUCCAUGGCCUAUUUAACAUAUGGUCCCAAAAGCUGUUCUUGAAGAAUGGGCCAUAGUAUUUCACACCAAGAACAAUCCUGUUAAUUAAGACAGAACCUUGAGGAAUAUAGGAGAAAUGGAAAACAUCUUUUCUGCAAGCAGAACUCCAGGCUUGACUAGUCAUGUUAGCUCUAAGAUACAGUAGUGACAGAGAUGUUGUAAGGCAUUUUGAAGCACUGAAACUUUUCAUUUCCCAUUACCUCUAUCCAACCACCACCCCUGUUAUCUUCUGCUUUUCCCACAUCUAUAGACCUCACCUCAUUAUAAAGCUGCUGAAACUGGCAGAGAUCAGAGAUGUCAACCACACUAUAUGUCUCCUUCAGAAAGGCACUGGCAUAUCUUAAACUGCCCAUGCUGCAGCACAGAAGUUAUAUUUGGGAUAACUAGUCCCAGGGAAGUCACUAGGAAUUCUGCUGAAAAAAAAUGUCCUAGGUAUUUUUGAUAAUCCUAUCCUGUAGUAAUGGGAUUUGUUGAUAAUAGAAGAGUAAACAUUAUACCAGUGCUGUAAACUUGAGUAAACUUGAGGGUAAUGAAUCUCUAAUUAAAUAUGGCACUUGUAAAAAGCAGCAUUUUUUUUCUGGUUGAUUUUUUACUUUCUCUUGACUUUUGGAUUUGCUGAUGAAACAAUGUAGAAAUAAAAGAGAAAGUUCUUGAUAAUUUGCCCUGUUAUUUUGUAAUUACACAUUGGGAAACAAAGUGG
rnacentral:lncRNA from 1 species